rnacentral:rRNA from 1 species
AUUGAACGCUGGCGGCAGGCCUAACACAUGCAAGUCGAGCGGAUGAAGGGAGCUUGCUCCUGGAUUCAGCGGCGGACGGGGGAGUAAUGCCUAGGAAUCUGCCUGGUAGUGGGGGAUAACGUCCGGAAACGGGCGCUAAUACUGCCUGCGACCUGCGGCUGCAAGUGGGGGAGCGUCGGACCUCUCGCUAGCAGAUGAGCGUAGGUGGGUUUAGUUAGUUGGUGGGGUAAUGGCCUUCCAAGGCGAGUAUCCGUAACUGGACGGAGUGAAGGAUCAGUCACACUGGAGCUGGGACGCGGUCAAGGCUCCUGAGGGAGGCAGCAGAGGGGAACGUGGGGCAAUGGGGGAGAGCCUGGUCCAGCCAUGCCGCGUGUGUGGAGAAGAUCUUCGGAUUGUAAAGCACGUUAAGUGGGGAGGAAGGGCAGUAAGUUAAUACCUUGCUGUUUUGACGUUACCAACAGAAUAAGCACCGGCUAACUUCGUG